GGGGAGGUGCCAGAGUGGCCGAUUGGGCUCGCCUGCUAAGUGAGUGUACGUGAAAACGUACCGAGGGUUCGAAUCCCUCCCUCCCCG
rnacentral:tRNA from 1 species